rnacentral:rRNA from 1 species
UUUCCCGGUUGAUCCCGCCGGGACGUGACUGCUAUCGGAUUGAUACUAAGCCAUGCGAGUCAUUGUAGCAAUACAAGGCAGACGGCUCAGUAACGCGUAGUCAACCUACCCUAUGGACGGGAAUAACCUCGGGAAACUGAGAAUAAUGCCCGAUAGAACAUUAUGCCUGGAAUGGUUUAUGUUCCAAAUGAUUUAUCGCCGUAGGAUGGGACUGCGGCCUAUCAGUUUGUUGGUGAGGUAAUGGCCCACCAAGACUAUUACAGGUACGGGCUCUGAGAGGAGUGGCCCGGAGAUGGGUACUGAGACACGGACCCAGGCCCUAUGGGGCGCAGCAGGCGAGAAAACUUUGCAAUGUGCGAAAGCACGACAAGGUUAAUCCGAGUGGUUUCUGCUAAAGGAACCUUUUGUCGGUCCUAGAAACACCGAUGAAUAAGGGGUGGGCAAGUUCUGGUGUCAGCCGCCGCGGUAAAACCAGCACCUCAAGUUGUCAGGAUGAUUAUUGGGCCUAAAGCAUCCGUAGCCGGCUCUGUUAGUUUUCGGUUAAAUCUGUACGCUUAACGUACAGGCUGCCGGGAAUACUGCAGAGCUAGGGAGUGGGAGAGGUAGACGGUACUCGGUAGGAAGGGGUAAAAUCCUUUGAUCUAUUGAUGACCACCUGUGGCGAAGGCGGUCUACCAGAACACGUCCGACGGUGAGGGAUGAAAGCUGGGGGAGCAAACCGGAUUAGAUACCCGGGUAGUCCCAGCUGUAAACUAUGCAAACUCAGUGAUGCAUUGGCUUGUGGCCAAUGCAGUGCUGCAGGGAAGCCGUUAAGUUUGCCGCCUGGGAAGUACGUACGCAAGUAUGAAACUUAAAGGAAUUGGCGGGGGAGCACCACAAGGGGUGAAGCCUGCGGUUCAAUUGGAUUCAACGCCGGA